CGGAUCAUCAUAACACAUACACACUGUGGUGGUUUAAGUAAUAUCUUUUUAGAGUUGUUGCUUGGUCAUUGUCAAUAGGAGGAUUUUGGAGAAAUAGAAGGAAAUGAAAUUGAGGCUCGAAUGGAAAAAGAUGCAAAUCUUAUUGUAAUCCUUGAAAGGAGUAUAGGAAUAUCUACUUAUCAAGAUGGAACUCUUCUAUGUUGAGGAAAGAAAUGUCAAUAUCAAAUGAGCUGCAAGAGUUUUGUGUGCGUGAAUGCUCAUGCUGCAAACAGAAGAAGCGCACAAAGGAUAAAAAGGAUUGUGAAUACCCAAAAUGCGCAUCUUUGAAAUUGAUCUUCUGAUGGCACUGCUUCGGCCACAACAUCCAUUCCUGGUGUAUUGGGAGAAAAAUUAUUCUCCGUGACAGCAGAAAACAUAUUUGACAUAACUUGCAUUAAGAAGCAAGUGUUGCAUGUUAACCAUGUCCAUAAGAUGUUGUCGAAUAAACUAUUUCAAAUUCAGCUAAGGAAGUCAUCGUGGGGCAGCUCAAAUACCACACAUCCAACUUUGUCUGUUCUUUC